GCAGUGAUGCCAUUUGGCUCCCAAGCUUGCCUGGCACAGCUGCCUCAGCACACAGGCACGUCUGAGGCUCUCCAGCCCAGCAGGUAAAAGCUGCCACUGCCCCUGUCUCACAGGAAGAGGGCUGCAGCCGUACAAUCACUCCUGUGCUACUGCUGCCUGGAAUUGCAAACCCACCAGGACACACCAGCUGCUGUGGGCAGCACCAGUCAGCACUUACUGGUUCCCUGCACAGACAGCACAGGAAAUGCUGAGGGAGGGAGAGCUCCACAUAUCUCUUGGGAAAAAACAGGCACCAAGAUGCCCAAGCAUGUGGGGUGGUUUUGCUUGCUGGCAGCAGCACCACCCCAGCUGCUGUCCUUACCUUGCUGGGUGACCUGGUUGGUAGGUAGACUCCUUUCCAGAUACUCUCCUGGGCAAGUAAAUUACAGACCUUGGUACCAGGCACCAAAUUAGCCCCACACUCUGCUCACUCCCUACAGCUUUCUUCCCUCCUCCACUACGAGGUAAUCAAUUUUUCUUUGGGAGCAUUUUGCCAGACACUUCUCAAACUACCACAAGACCAAGUACGCAGCAUCUCGUGCACUUUGUCUUCUGGAGUCGAGUUAGUUCUUCACAGAGCUGCAAAAACAGCUUCUCUGGACACAUGAACACAAGCUGCAGAGGAAACCCCACUGAUGGCACAGUGCCUGUCAUCCCCAUCCUUGGUAGCCCAGAGCUUUACAACCCCACAAACCCACAAGGGCAGCUCUGCCAACAUGCCCAAAAUGCUGCUCCUUGAGUUCUGCUGAUCUCUGCACAAACAGGAUCACCUGUCCUUGCUUUUACCUUGCAGCCAGAAAAACGUGGGUGAAGGUGGGUAAGUGCUGUCCCAGCUGGGAAGCGCAGCAUUAGACAUCAGUCUGAUACCUUCUUUACCCUAUCCCAACACAAUGGAAUCAGGAGACACUGUUUUAAUUCUUACUUCAAAGUGGAAUAAAGAAAUAGUGCUUUUGCAGCCAUUCUGGUUCCACUGCUGAAAACCAUCCCCAGCAGCAACUGAGUUGCUCUUGUGGAUGCCAAGAUGAUGUAUGGCUGUGUCAGAUGGAAAACAUGAGCCACAAAAAUAAAAUGAGCCACGGGGACAAAUCCUAACACUGGCUUUUGGACUUGACUCUUCCUUGAACCAAGUCAGUCUGGUGUAUGAAUAUUCAUACACAUGCUUUGUUCUUCCCCGUUUGUCCUUUCUGUGAGAAGUCAGUACCUGCAGCAGCUCUGAAGACUAUUCAACAGUCCUGCCUCAGGCAGGGAGAAGCUGAAACAGUAAAUGGAGGCUCAGGACUUCCUAGCCAAGAUAUUUUUAAUUACAGAAUAAGCAAACUUUAAAGUCAUUGAGCAUAGGAGAGAAACUCUUUAAUGUCAGAGGCCACACCAAAAUGCUCCCAGAUAAUACAAGGUUACCUGCAUCACCUGAGAUGGAUUUGGGUCUGUGUUCAGCAGUGCCUUGGUACCACUUGGGAGAUACAUAAGGAACUUCACUGGGAGAGAGCUUACAGUGAGCAGCCCAGGGGGGACCCUUAUUUUGGUUCAUGGCAAAGCCCUCAGGAACAAGGCAGCCCCUGAACCCGCACUGGGCCUGUCAGCUCAGCAGGAAGGGUUUGGUGCUACAGGAAAUUUGCUUGUAAUAGGGUGCCAAACCAUCAUAAAAAGUCUCCGCUGUGAUGACACAUAACUCCCUGACCUCAGAAAACAGAGAUGAAAAUGAGGCAGAAAAUGGAGCCAGGGCUUUGCUUCUUGCAUGAAGAUCCUUUCAAGUACCAAACCAUCUUAAGAAUGCCUCUUCUGAUGGGAUUUUGACAAGAGAUUGCUUACCUCUCAAAACACAGUGUGAGUCCUGCAAGCACAUACACACAGGCAUUUUCUGCCCUUUUCUUUCCAAAGGGAAGGCUCUUCCCUGGUAUAAGGAAGGGCAGCAUUAACAUUUCUAAUCCAAAUGGAAAUCAAGGCCAUGGCCUCAUGGCUCAGCCUAAGGGAAGAGAAGGCAGAUAUAGACUGAAAUAAAAAUAACUGAAAGCUUUUGGGCAUGCACUUUCACUGUGCUAAUUGGGGAACAUGGGACUGAGACUCCAGCAAAAACCGAGGUGCUUCCUGGGACAAGUGCGUUUGCCAAAUCUGCCUGCAGAAUGCAGCAGGCUGCCAUGUUACAACCAGUUCCUCAAAUAUGAGACCUGAACUCCCUGCUCCAGCAGUUAUUCAUGGCCAGUUCAAACAGUUCUUUCACACCUGGUAUCUCCAUCCCCUUUUAGAUAUUCUCUCCAACAGCAUCAAUCCCUGCUUCAACGAGGAAAGGGAACUGCAAGUUCUGAACCAGGUGAGGCAGUUCUGCCUUUCACAGACACACAAUUUAUUUUUUAAAUGUUUAACAGGAUUAAUCAAGACAAAAAUGUUCCAUUAUCUCAAAGCAAUUAUUCCUGUGCCUAAACACGUGACAGCAGGAACACUCAAAGGGAAAAUCCUCCCUGGUGGCACCUGCAUGUGCACAUCAGGUCUCACACAUAUUUCAAAUUCUAGAAACAGCUUUGAUAGAAUAAAUUAUGUCCUCUUCAG